rnacentral:rRNA from 1 species
GCAUAUCAAUAAGCGGAGGAAAAGAAACCAACAGGGAUUGCCUCAGUAACGGCGAGUGAAGCGGCAACAGCUCAAAUUUGAAAUCUGGCUCUCGGGCCCGAGUUGUAAUUUGUAGAGGAUGCUUUGGGCGCGGUUCCUUCCGAGUUCCCUGGAACGGGACGCCGUAGAGGGUGAGAGCCCCGUACGGUUGGAUGCUAAGCCUGUGUAAAGCUCCUUCGACGAGUCGAGUAGUUUGGGAAUGCUGCUCUAAAUGGGAGGUAAAUUUCUUCUAAAGCUAAAUACCGGCCAGAGACCGAUAGCGCACAAGUAGAGUGAUCGAAAGAUGAAAAGCACUUUGAAAAGAGGGUUAAAUAGUACGUGAAAUUGUUGAAAGGGAAGCGCUUGUGACCAGACUUGCGCCUGGUAAAUCAUCUAGCGUUCUCGCUAGUGCACUUUGCCGGCUCAGGCCAGCAUCAGUUUGCCGUUGGGGAUAAAAGUUUCUGGGACGUGGCUCUCUUCGGGGAGUGUUAUAACCAGUUGCACAAUACCUUUCGGCGGACUGAGGUACGCGCUCCGCAAGGAUGCUGGCGUAAUGGUCAUCAGCGACCCGUCUUGAAACACGGACCAAGGAGUCAACCUUAUGUGCGAGUGUUUGGGUGUUAAACCCCUACGCGUAAUGAAAGUGAACGCAGGUGAGAGCUUCGGCGCAUCAUCGACCGAUCCUGAUGUCUUCGGAUGGAUUUGAGUAAGAGCAUAUAGGGUUGGACCCGAAAGAAGGUGAACUAUGCGUGUAUAGGGUGAAGCCAGAGGAAACUCUGGUGGAGGCUCGCAGCGGUUCUGACGUGCAAAUCGAUCGUCAAAUAUGCGCAUG